GACGAACGCUGGCGGCGUGCUUAACACAUGCAAGUCGAACGAUGAAGGAGAGCUUGCUCUCCGGAUUAGUGGCGAACGGGUGAGUAACACGUGACUAACCUGCCCCUUUCUCUGGGAUAACGCUCCGAAAGGAGUGCUAAUACCGGAUACGAACUCUGAACACAUGUUCGGAGUUGGAAAGUUUUUCGGAAAGGGAUGGAGUCGCGGCCUAUCAGCUCGUUGGUGAGGUAACGGCUCACCAAGGCGACGACGGGUAGCCGGCCUGAGAGGGCGACCGGCCACACUGGGACUGAGACACGGCCCAGACUCCUACGGGAGGCAGCAGUGGGGAAUAUUGCACAAUGGGCGCAAGCCUGAUGCAGCGACGCCGCGUGAGGGAUGAAGGUCUUCGGAUUGUAAACCUCUUUCAGUAGGGACGAAGCGAAAGUGACGGUACCUAAAGAAGAAGCACCGGCUAACUACGUGCCAGCCGCCGCAGUAA
rnacentral:rRNA from 1 species